UAAGGAAUAUUGGACAAUGCCCGCAAGGGUGAUCCAGCCAUGCCGCGUGCAGGAAGACGGCCCUAUGGGUUGUAAACUGCUUUUAUACCGGAGAAAACCUCUUCUCGUGAGAAGAGCUGAUAGUAUGGUAAGAAUAAGCAUCGGCUAACUUCGUGCCAGCAGCCGCGGUAAGACGAAGGAUGCAAGCGUUAUCCGGAUUCAUUGGGUUUAAAGGGAGCGUAGGUGGCCUUAUAAGUCAGUGGUGAAAUCUCUCGGCUUAACCGAGAAAUUGCCAUUGAUACUGUAGGGCUUGAGUAUAGUUGCCGUUGGCGGAAUAUGACAUGUAGUGGUGAAAUACAUAGAGAUGUCAUAGAACACCGAUUGCGAAGGCAGCUGACGAAACUAUAACUGACACUGAGGCUCGAAAGUGCGGGGAUCAAACAGG
rnacentral:rRNA from 1 species